rnacentral:rRNA from 1 species
AGUGGAUGGGGAGCAACCUAGUUGUGCGUGUGUAAAGGUAGUGCCAAGAAAAGCGAUGAUCAUGUUGAAAAUCAAUUCCCGGUACCCGAAACCGACACAGGUGGGCAAGUAGAGAAUACUAAGGGGCGCGAGGUAACUCUCUCCAAGGAACUCGGCAAAAUGACCCCGUAACUUAGGGAGAAGGGGUGCCACCGAGAGGUGGUCGCAGUGAAGAGGCCCAGGCGACUGUUUAGCAAAAACAUAGGUCUCUGCAAACUCGAAAGAGGAGGUAUAGGGGCUGACGCCUGCCCAGUGCCGGAAGGUUAAAGAAGUUGGUCAGUUUUAGGAUGAAGCUAGCGACUGAAGCCCCGGUGAACGGCGGCCGUAACUAUAACGGUCCUAAGGUAGCGAAAUUCCUUGUCGGGUAAGUUCCGACCCGCACGAAAGGCGUAACGAUCUGGGCGCUGUCUCGGAGAGAGGCUCGGCGAAAUAGGAUUGUCUGUGAAGAUACGGACUACCUGCAUUUGGACAGAAAGGCCCUAUGAAGCUUUACUAUAGCUUGGAAUUGUGUUCGGGCUUCCUGUGCGCAGGAUAGGUGGGAGGCGUAGAAGGUAUUCUUGUGGGGAUACUGGAGCCAACGGUGAGAUACCACUCUCAGGAGGCUAGAAUUCUAACUUAAUUAAGGACAGUUUCAGGUGGGUAGUUUGACUGGGGCGGUCGCCUCCAAAAAGGUAACGGAGGCGUACAAAGGUUCCCUCAGACUGGUUGGAAAUCAGUCGAAGAGUGCAAAGGCAGAAGGGAGCUUGACUGCGAGAAGUACAGUUCGAGCAGGGUGGAAACACGGUCUUAGUGAUCCGACGGUGCUGUGUGGAAGGGCCGUCGUUCAACGGAUAAAAGUUACUCUAGGAUAACAGGCUGAUCUCCCCCAAGAGUUCACAUCGACGGGGAGGUUUGGCACCUCGAUGUCGGCUCAUCGCAACCUGGGGCGGAAGUACGUCCCAAGGGUUGGGCUGUUCGCCCAUUAAAGCGGUACGUGAGCUGGGUUCAGAACGUCGUGAGACAGUUCGGUCCAUAUCCGAUGUAGGCGUGAGAAUAUUGAGAGGAGCCUUCCUUAGUACGAGAGGACCGGGAAGGACGCACCGCUGGUGUACCUGUUAUGAUGCCAAUUGUAAACGCAGGGUAGCCAAGUGCGGAGAGGAUAACCGCUGAAAGCAUCUAAGUAGGAAGCCCACCUCAAGAUGAGUAUUCUGGUGUAAGGUCACGGGAAGACGACCCGUAAAAUAGGCACGAGGUGGAAGUGCAGAGAUGUAUGAAGCCGAAGUGUACUAAUAGACCGUCGGCUUGAUC